AGAACUACUCUCAACUAACACCUUGUGUGCAAGUUGGAUGUGGGGGUUCUGCUGUUGACUUGUUCACAGCUCCUCCUAAAUAUGUUAGCCUGUUGGUGAUGAACCACUGUUGGCUUGAUAUUAAUGUCUAUGCUGCAGUUGUACAUGUGUCCAUGGCUUCUAAUCGUCUUCGGACAAUAUUUCUGAG
rnacentral:misc_RNA from 1 species